rnacentral:rRNA from 1 species
AACGAACGCUGGCGGCAGGCUUAACACAUGCAAGUCGAGCGCCCCGCAAGGGGCUCGUCAGGCUGGUGAGUAACGCGUGUGAACGUACCCUUAUCUUCGGGGUAUCUCCGGGAGACUGUAAUUAAUACCUCAUAUACCCUUUUUUGGAAAGAUUUAUCUGAUAAGGAUCUGCCCGCGUUUGAUUAGCUAGUUGGUGGGGUAAAGGCCUACCAAGGCGACGAUCCAUAGCUGGUCUGAGAGGAUGAUCAGCCACAUUGGGACUGAGACACGGCCCAGACUCCUACGGGAGGCAGCAGUGGGGAAUAUUGGACAAUGGGCGCAAGCCUGAUCUAGCCAUGCCGCGUGAGUGAUGAAGGCCUUAGGGUUGUAAAGCUCUUUCACCUGAGAAGAUAAUGACGGUACCAGCAGAAGAAGCCCCGGCUAACUCCGUG